CAUAAGAAAAAAUCGAGUAAUCUUCUCUUGUUUCCUUCAAACACAAGAAUUGCAGCUAAAACAUCUUUGGGGUUUGUCUAAAUGAUGAUUUAAGGCUGUCAGUUAUUGGUGCAACGCGAGAGGUUGGGAUCUUCCUUACUGGUGUUACUGGUUACUUAUUUGAUUUGUUGAUUGAUUCAUUACUUAGGAUGUGGUGUUUGUUUUACUGAAUGACGGGGAUAGGAUUGUGAAAGGAGAGUGCUCGAGUUUUUUUAAGCUCGCAUUUAGGGCCCCUCUUGGACAGAACAAAGGCAUAGCUUCUACGAGUAUGUGCAGAUCAAUUGUGAUUUACUCAUCGUUGAAUGAAUAUUGAAUUUAUUCGGGCUACUGCUAGUCAACAACUGGCUUGGGCUCAUGCGCUCUUUUCAUGCAGCUGUAUAUAGUUAUACUAUUGCAGCAUAGUUUCUAGUCUAUGUGCUUUCUUCUUCUCCCAGG